rnacentral:rRNA from 1 species
AGUGAACGCUGGCGGUAGGCCUAACACAUGCCAGUCGAACGGCAGCACAGUAAGAGCUUGCUCUUACGGGUGGCGAGUGGCGGACGGGUGAGGAAUACAUCGGAAUCUACUUUUUCGUGGGGGAUAACGUAGGGAAACUUACGCUAAUACCGCAUACGACCUACGGGUGAAAGCAGGGGAUCUUCGGACCUUGCGCGAUUGAAUGCGCCGAUGUCGGAUUAGCUAGUUGGCGGGGUAAAGGCCCACCAAGGCGACGAUCCGUAGCUGGUCUGAGAGGAUGAUCAGCCACACUGGAGCUGAGACACGGUCCAGACUCCUACGGGAGGCAGCAGUGGGGAAUAUUGGACAAUGGGCGCAAGCCUGAUCCAGCCAUACCGCGUGGGUGAAGAAGGCCUUCGGGUUGUAAAGCCCUUUUGUGGGGAAAGAAAAGCAGCAGGUUAAGACCCCGCUGUUCUGACGGUACCCAAAGAAUAAGCACCGGCUAACUUCGUG